GACGGAGCACAAGCCCGGCUGCUCCCAAACCGCCAGGCCGCAGGGGGUAAGGCCGUGGCUAAGCUGGGGGCGGAGGGGCUGCAGGCAUCUGCUAAAGGGUGUGGGGCCGAGGGGACGAGACACGGGACAAGCACCAAACAAAGGGGGUGAGGGAUAAGGGCAGACUCAGGAUAGAGGGUGCUAGGAACAGGGUAAAGGGGAACUAGAAACAAGGCAGGCAUGGAAUAGCCCCCAGUACCCUAAAAGCCUCGCUAGAAACUCUGUGGUGAUCACAUUUCCCUGGACAGACACGAAGGUAACCUUACAAAGGAGGGUCUCAGCUCGGGAGGUCACUUGCGUUGCCUUCCUCAAAGGCUAGCUCUUGAGCCAGCUAUGGCUGCGUGUGAACCACAGGAUGAUGUGAUUUCACAACAACAAACCCUCAAAUAUUUAAAAGGCUGUUUAAUUUAUCCCAGCACAAUCUUUUAAGAAUAGACAUUUGUCUUGCAAUUUGAGUCCUGCAUUCUUAACACUUUUUGCUUUGAGACAGUUGGUCUCUGCCACUGUUUUAGUGAAGCUGCUUCUUCCAGAUUGCACUGCCAGAGGCACUGCACCUCGCAAUCGCUCGAAGUUACAUCAUCCACAAAGAGCCAGAUACCACUUCUGGCUCCUGAACUGAAUACAACAGUUGGACAUUGAGGACAGCCAUAGCAACUCUGCAGGAGACUGAAAGUCCCCGCUGGACUCCAUCAGGCUUGAUGGCAAUGAAAGUUUGCUCGGAAAUGGAUGCCAUUGUCCUACAAGAGGAGAAAAAGGGACUCUGUAUUCCAGGACCAGAAGGCAAAUGCAGCCACAACAUAAAUCUAGAAGGCAUACCCACAAUUUUCCACAACCUUAUUGUGCUUAUGUGUACUGAUCUAAUAAGUCAAAGAAUAUCCAAAAGGUGCUACAAAAAUAAAUGUAAUGUAACAGACCUAUAAAUAUUGAAGAGAGCAAUUAGUCCAUACCAAGAAUGAAGAGAUUUUA